GGUCCGCUGGCUCAAUGGCAGAGCGUCUGACUACGAUGAGUAAAUCAGGAGGUUCCAGGUUCGACCCCUGGGUGGAUCG